UGUAGAUAUAUAGGUGUAUAUAUAUUACCGUUUUUUUUGCAUAAGAAACAUGAAUGUAGUUAAUUUUUACUGUAUUCUAUGUAUUUAUAGAAAAAAAAACAAUCACAUAAUUAUGCGUUAAUAUAUAAAAUAUGAUUUGUCUGUUAUGAAAAUAUAUAAGUAAUAUGCACAUGAAUAUGUAUGUAUGUAUAUAUAUGAACAUUUAAAACCAAACGGGUUAAAAACAAAACAAAACAAAAAAAAAUCAUAAUAAUAAAUAUAGUAACAAUGGUAGUAAUGAUAAUUAUAAAACAUUCGAAAUAACAAAAAUUAAAUUUUUUUUUUUUUUUUUUUUUUUUUUUUUUUUUUUUUUUUUUUUUUUUUUUUUUUUUUUUUAUUUUUUUUAUAUAACUCAUUUUUGUUGGAUCCAUUCUUUAUCAUAUGUAUAUAUUUAUUUUCAGAAACUUUACUCUUUUUUUCUUCUUCAUUAGGUGUCAUUUUUUUUAGUGUGUUUAACUUAUCAUGUUCGUCCUGUCCAUUUUUUUCGUCUUGCCGAUUUUUUUCGUCUUGCCAU
rnacentral:lncRNA from 1 species